GUAAACAUAGUGAAGGGAAGAGUAUCCUUAAAGAUAGCAUACAGAGAGUCUGAAAUGGUGAGAACAGGCAGUGAAGAGUAAGGUGAAGAUGGCCCCCGAAUGGCAUCGGUGAGUGCUACAUAAGCCGGUGACGGGAACACCCGUUAUAGUGUAAAUAAGGUUGGAAUGUGUUUUGUAAUUAUUAAGAAUACUAUUCCGAUAAAGUAAAGUGGUACCACGAAGUUUACGCUCUCGUCUUUAUG
rnacentral:ncRNA from 1 species